GAUGAACGCUGGCGGCGUGCCUAAUACAUGCAAGUCGAGCGAACAGACGAGGAGCUUGCUCCUCUGACGUUAGCGGCGGACGGGUGAGUAACACGUGGAUAACCUACCUAUAAGACUGGGAUAACUUCGGGAAACCGGAGCUAAUACCGGAUAAUAUAUUGAACCGCAUGGUUCAAUAGUGAAAGACGGUUUUGCUGUCACUUAUAGAUGGAUCCGCGCCGCAUUAGCUAGUUGGUAAGGUAACGGCUUACCAAGGCAACGAUGCGUAGCCGACCUGAGAGGGUGAUCGGCCACACGGGAACGGAGACACGGUCAGACUCCUACGGGAGGCAGCAGUAGGGAAUCUUCCGCAAUGGGCGAAAGCCUGACGGAGCAACGCCGCGUGAGUGAUGAAGGUCUUCGGAUCGUAAAACUCUGUUAUUAGGGAAGAACAAAUGUGUAAGUAACUAUGCACGUCUUGACGGUACCUAAUCAGAAAGCCACGGCUAACUACGUG
rnacentral:rRNA from 1 species